UCAGUGCAAUGAGGAUCAGAUAAGAGGUGAUAUGUUCAUAUCUUCUGGUUCUAGUUAGGACUCUAGCUGCUGUGUUCUGGACUAACUGGAGCUUGUUUAUGCUCCUACUAGAACAUCCAGACAGUAAAGUAUUACAAUAAUCCAACCUAGAGUAUCAGCUGUGAUUCACUUGGAGUAAAAAGUUGGUCAUCUCUGGUCUCAGCGCUCAGAUCAGAAACCUCCAAACUGAGAGAACUUCAUCUGACUGUGAAAACACUGAAUCUGUCUGAGAAUAAACUCGGAGACUCAGAAGUGAAGACUCUCUCUGCUGGACUGGAGAAUCCUCACUGUAAAGUGGAGACACUGAAUUUGUGUUUACACUGGAGAACAGUGUCAGAGUGGAGAUUGGACUCAUCUGAGAGCUGAAGAACAGAACUGCAGUUGGUUUAGGAGUACAUGGGGCAACACCAACACAAAGUCAUUUUAACUCCAAUUAAAACACUCAAUGCAUUUAUUUAAUUUAUUAUUUAUUUUUAUUUAUCUAAAAAUU